UACAGAGGGUGCAAGCGUUGUUCGGAAUUACUGGGCGUAAAGCGAGUGUAGGCGGUCUGUAAAGUCGGGUGUGAAAGCCCCGGGCUCAACCCGGGAAGUGCACUCGAAACUCACAGGCUAGAGUAUCGGAGAGGUUGGUGGAAUUCUCGGUGUAGAGGUGAAAUUCGUAGAUAUCGAGAGGAACACCGGUGGCGAAGGCGGCCAACUGGACGAAUACUGACGCUGAGACUCGAAAGCGUGGGGAGCAAACAGG
rnacentral:rRNA from 1 species